rnacentral:miRNA from 1 species
GUGUAAUUUGACUCAUAACUCUCUGAUUGGUUGCUUUAAAAAAAAAAGCAACCAAUCAGAGAGUUAUGAGUUAAAUUACACAG